rnacentral:RNase_P_RNA from 2 species
GCCGCAUUUCUUUGCUCACACACGAACAAUUGGCAUCAGCUCUAGGUUUUAAACUGCCUUUUGCUUCCUUUUUGUUUCAAUUUACUUUGCAAAUGAGAAAUUCGGAGUAAUCUUCAAAGCACUUACACCGUUGUUACGACAUACGGCGGCCCGUGAGGGUACGGGAUGAUUUCAUUCCUGCUAAGACAUCAGAAAAUCAAGCGCCUUCUCGUGCCUUUUCUCUUUCUUCCUUUUCUUCUGCUCUCUCUCCUGGGGGGGAGUAGGGGGGGGGGGGGGCGAGGGGAGAGAGGCGGUAGGGAAGGAUGCUAUGGGAGUCGAAGCGAAGAUCGUGGGUUGGGCCACUUUAGUGCAAUUUGCGGCGUGCUGUUCGAAAGAAUGGUAUAAUUCGAUUCCGAUUACUCUGUU